UACGGAGGGUGCAAGCGUUAUCCGGAUUUACUGGGUUUAAAGGGUGCGUAGGUGGGUAGGUAAGUCAGUGGUGAAAUCUUCGAGCUUAACUCGGAAACUGCCAUUGAUACUAUUUAUCUUGAAUAAUCUGGAGGUAAGCGGAAUAUGUCAUGUAGCGGUGAAAUGCUUAGAUAUGACAUAGAACACCAAUUGCGAAGGCAGCUUACUACAUAGUUAUUGACACUGAGGCACGAAAGCGUGGGGAUCAAACAGG
rnacentral:rRNA from 1 species